rnacentral:rRNA from 1 species
AUUGAACGCUGGCGGCAUGCCUUACACAUGCAAGUCGAACGGCAGCACGGGAGCAAUCCUGGUGGCGAGUGGCGAACGGGUGAGUAAAGUAUCGGAACGUGCCCAGUCGUGGGGGAUAACGUAGCGAAAGUUACGUUAAUACCGCAUACGAUUUAUGGAUGAAAGCGGGGGAUCGCAAGACCUCGCGCGAUUGGAGCGGCCGAUAUCAGAUUAGGUUGUUGGUGGGGUAAAGGCUCACCAAGCCGACGAACGGUAGCUGGUCUGAGAGGACGACCAGCCAAACUGGGACUGAGACACGGCCCAGACGACUACGGGAGGCAGCAGUGGGGAAUUUUGGACAAUGGGCGAAAGCCUGAUCCAGCCAUGCCGCGUGCAGGAUGAAGGCCUUCGGGUUGUAAACUGCUUUUGUACGGAACGAAAAGGUUUGGCCUAAUAAGCUGAGCUCAUGACGGUACCGUAAGAAUAAGCACCGGCUAACUACGUGCCAGCAGCCGCGGUAA